UGGGGAAUAUUGCACAAUGGGCGCAAGCCUGAUGCAGCCAUGCCGCGUGUAUGAAGAAGGCCUUCGGGUUGUAAAGUACUUUCAGCGGGGAGGAAGGCGUUAAGGUUAAUAACCUUGGCGAUUGACGUUACCCGCAGAAGAAGCACCGGCUAACUCCGUGCCAGCAGCCGCGGUAAUACGGAGGGUGCAAGCGUUAAUCGGAAUUACUGGGCGUAAAGCGCACGCAGGCGGUCUGUCAAGUCGGAUGUGAAAUCCCCGGGCUCAACCUGGGAACUGCAUUCGAAACUGGCAGGCUGGAGUCUUGUAGAGGGGGGUAGAAUUCCAGGUGUAGCGGUGAAAUGCGUAGAGAUCUGGAGGAAUACCGGUGGCGAAGGCGGCCCCCUGGACGAAGACUGACGCUCAGGUGCGAAAGCGUGGGGAGCAAACAGG
rnacentral:rRNA from 1 species